UGUGCUGAUGCGGUCAAACAACUGCAUGCCAUCUGUCAUGCCGCCAAUUUCAUCCCUCUUCAGCCCGAAGCUCUCGGCAAGAUGAAGAGGAAAGGUCUCUGCAGCUUGGUCCGUGUGGAUGUCCAGAUAAGAACCAACAUUACUCUUGCAUCUCUCCAGAGGCAGGAAGCCCAUACACACAUCUGGAGAGCAGCUGUGGUACACAAACCCAACCUGAAUAGCUUUGCAAUUGAGGCACCAUGGUGCCUUCCUGCUUGACUGAAGGAAACUCCAGAUAAUGAGGACAAAUUCAAUGCCACGCAUGCAGGAAAAAAUGCAAGGGACGUCCAGGUACAUUGAAAUCAGACUGAAAUUGCCUUCAUCCAACAAUGUAAGAGAACUGUAGAGGAGGGGAUCACCUUUUCUGUCAUUUAGCAUAGAACUGCUUACUGCUUUGCUAAUUAAUUAGAUAUUUGCUUCUACGAUACAUUACCUGCAUGAAUCUGAAAGAUUUUAUAGAGAGAUAAAAAAAAUCAGUAACACUUUAGACAGGGAAAAUUU